UAAUAGUGAGGGGAGAGAGAGGUAGUGGUUAGUGAUAAUAGUGAGGGGAGAGAGAGGUAGUGGUUAGUGAUAAUAGUGAGGGGAGAGAGAGGUAGUGGUUAGUGAUAAUAGUGAGGGGAGAGAGAGGUAGUGGUUAGUGAUAAUAGUGAGGGGAGAGAGAGGUAGUGGUUAGUGAUAAUAGUGAGGGGAGAGAGAGGUAGUGGUUAGUGAUAAUAGUGAGGGGAGAGAGAGGUAGUGGUUAGUGAUAAUAGUGAGGGGAGAGAGAGGUAGUGGUUAGUGAUAAUAGUGAGGGGAGAGAGAGGUAGUGGUUAGUGAUAAUAGUGAGGGGAGAGAGAGGUAGUGGUUAGUGAUAAUAGUGAGGGGAGAG